rnacentral:rRNA from 1 species
CCAAAACUCAAAGGACUUGGCGGUGCUUCAUAUCCUUCUAGAGGAGCCUGUUCUAUAAACGAUAAACCACGAUUAACCUCACCAAUCCUUGCUACUUCAGUCUAUAUACCGCCAUCUUCAGCAAACCCUAAAAAAGGAAUGAAAGUAAGCACAACUAUUGUACAUAAAAACGUUAGGUCAAGGUGUAACCUAUGGAUUGGGAAGAAAUGGGCUACAUUUUCUAUAAUAAGAACACCACUUAAACUUAUACGAAAGUUUUUAUGAAACCUAAAAACUAAAGGAGGAUUUAGCAGUAAAUUAAGAAUAGAAUGCUUAAUUGAAUAAGGCCAUGAAGCACGCACACACCGCCCGUCACCCUCCUCAAGUACCAUAGCUAAGCCCUAGAUUGCUAACCCAUGCUAAGCAAGCAUACAAGAGGAGAC